rnacentral:rRNA from 1 species
UACGUAGGGACCAAGCGUUGUUCGGAUUUACUGGGCGUAAAGGGCGCGUAGGCGGCGUGUUAAGUCACUUGUGAAAUCUCUAAGCUUAACUUAGAACGGUCAAGUGAUACUGACGUGCUAGAGUGCAGAAGGGGCAACCGGAAUUCUUGGUGUAGCGGUGAAAUGCGUAGAUAUCGAGAGGAACACCUGCGGCGAAGGCGGGUUGCUGGGCUGACACUGACGCUGAGCGCGAAAGCUAGGGGAGCAACGGG